UACGAAGGGGGCUAGCGUUGCUCGGAAUGACUGGGCGUAAAGGGCGCGUAGGCGGGGAGGUAAGUCGGGUGUGAAAUCCCUCGGCCCAACCGAGGAACUGCGCCCGAGACUGCUUCUCUUGAGUCCCGGAGAGGAAGAUGGAAUUCCCGGUGUAGCGGUGAAAUGUGUAGAGAUCGGGAGGAACACCGGUGGCGAAGGCGGUCUUCUGGACGGUGACUGACGCUGAGGCGCGAAAGCGUGGGGAGCAAACGGG
rnacentral:rRNA from 1 species